CGUCUAUAUACGUAUAGCAUAUCAAUAAGCGGAGGAAAAGAAACUAACUAGGAUUCCCUCAGUAACGGCGAGUGAAGCGGGAAGAGCUCAAAUUUGAAAUCUUCAAGGUUUUACCUUGACGAAUUGUAGUUUAAAGAAGUGUUUUCUGUUGGUGUUUUGGUAAAAGUUCUUUGGAAUAGGACAUCAUAGAGGGUGAGAAUCCCGUAUUUGACCAUUACUUCCAGCGUUGUGAUACACUUUCAAAGAGUCGGAUUGUUUGGGAAUGCAGUCCAAAAUGGGUGGUAAAUUUCAUCUAAAGCUAAAUACUGGCGAGAGACCGAUAGCGAACAAGUACCGUGAGGGAAAGAUGAAAAGAACUUUGAAAAGAGAGUUAAACAGUACGUGAAAUUGUCAAAAGGGAAGCGUUUGACACCAGUGUUGUUUUCUCGAAAAUCAAUUAAAAAUGGCGGGAUUUUGUGUUGUAUUGACUUUAUCAGCUUUCUGCACUUUUUUCCUGUCUUUUUUAAUGCACUUUUCGUUUAACAAGUCAACAUCAAUUUCUUUUGUUGUAAAAGGGUCAUUGGAAGGUGGCUUUCUUUUCGGAGAAAGUGUUUAUAGCCUUUGGCUUCUGCAAUCGGAGAGAUUGAGGUCUGCAGCGUAGAUCCUUCGGGGUUAGAUACAUUUGUGCUAAGUUAUAGCCUUUCAUAGACAACUUGUUGACUAUGAUCAGUCAUGUAGCUUACUCGCUUAUGUCAUUUUACCUACGCUUAGGAUGUUGACGAUCAGCUGAGCGCG
rnacentral:rRNA from 1 species